rnacentral:rRNA from 1 species
GACGAACGCUGGCGGCGUGCUUAACACAUGCAAGUCGAACGGAGAAUUUAUUUCGGUAAAUUCUUAGUGGCGAACGGGUGAGUAACGCGUAGGCAACCUGCCCUUUGGAUGGGGACAACAUUCCGAAAGGAGUGCUAAUACCGAAUGUGAUCCAAUUCUCGCAUGAGAGUUGGAUGAAAGAUGGCCUCUAUUUAUAAGCUAUCGCCAAAGGAUGGGCCUGCGUCUGAUUAGCUAGUUGGUGGGGUAACGGCUCACCAAGGCCUUGAUCAGUAGCCGGUCUGAGAGGAUGAACGGCCACAUUGGGACUGAGACACGGCCCAAACUCCUACGGGAGGCAGCAGUGGGGAAUCUUCCGCAAUGGACGAAAGUCUGACGGAGCAACGCCGCGUGAGUGAUGAAGGUUUUCGGACUGUAAAACUCUGUUGUCAGGGACGAAGGUGCGAUCUGCGAAUAGUUGAUCGUAUUGACGGUACCUGACGAGGAAGCCACGGCUAACUACGUG